UUUACCUCCUUUAUAAUCUUUUCUAUGCCAGAUAUGGUUCAUUUGAGAGUUAAAGCAGAAAGAGUGAGAUAGAGAGAGAGAAAGCAUAUUUAAAUAACAAUUUAUAUUGAGAUAACUUGAAUGUGAUCAAAGAAAAUAAAAAUUUCUUGCUGAUCUUAAAGUACGUUUAUUGCAGUUUUGUUGGUUGCAAAGUUUAUUAAGAAGACUAUAAAAGACUACAAAAGUGAGCCUGCGAAUAUCUAUAUUAUUAAAUUUUCAACUAUAAUGACAAGCAAAUCAAAAGUUUUAACUACUUUCGUCCGCAACUAUUCAGCACCGAAACAUUGGAUUUCGGAUGCAGUAAAAUAUGAAAAAGUCAAAUAUUAUCCAAGAUCCCCAAAUCAUGAAGAUCCUCCAAUUAUACCAUCCAAGCUUUUAAUGGUUGUAUUAGUAAAACCUUUUGCCGGUAAUCCUUAUUGGGAAAAAAAUAUACUUAAACAAUUGGGUAUUGCAGAGAAAGGAAGGGAUCCUGUGAUAGUUAAAAAUAUUCCAGAGAUAUGUGCAAUGUUGUGGAAAGUAAAACAUCUUGUCAAAAUUACUCCUAUUAAAUUACCAGACAAGCUGCCUAACACAGAUGAUUUUGGUGCAAGUUAUCUACAUGAAAAUGGAACCUUCUAUGUUGUUCCCAAAAUAGAUCCAUUGCGUAUAGCGAGCACAGAAAAAUUCGAAAAUGAUCCAAAAAAAUUGGAAGGCCCGAAAAUAAUAGAAACGUUAAGAUUACAGUGGUUAAAUGGUACUUUACCUUAAUAUAAUAACAAAUAUAGAGAGAUUUGUAAUUUCUAUUAACAGUUCUGUAAAUGGUACGUUAGGACCCUAUAGAAAUAAAGGAUGCGUGCCGCUUUAGAUCAGUCGUGCGGUCCUAUACUGCGAUAUUACAUACGUUAAAACUAAUUAUAGAAAAGGAAGAAGAAACAAAAAUGAUAUUAAGAAAAUCUAAGUCUAUCGAAAAUCUAUCGAAAAUAUGUCGAUUAAGACUCAAUUAGUGGUGCCUUACAUCGAAAGAGAAUAAAAGUAAUUUGCUAGGCCGUAAUCGCAUCUUUUGGAAAACUUUUAUGUACUUGCGCGCAUAAUAAGCGUACUAAGCGUACUGAUAAUGCCAGAACACGAGACCUUUUCUGCAACUCGAAUAUCGUCUGAUUGUUAAUUGUGCGCAAGUAGCCUUUGGAAUUUAUCAUUUUAUCUGAAAUGCUAACAUCUAUAAUGAAAUCGUCAACUCGAUAUCCUAUUUGUAGACUAAUCUCUAUGAGAAAACAACUCCUGAUAUAGUAAGUAAGUAGAUUUGAAAAAAUUCUAACAACAUGAUCAUUUUGGAAGUCCUAGUAAUGAAGAAAGAAAGGGGGAGAAGAGAGAUAAAGAGAGAGACAAUAAUCUCUCGUUGUCCUAUUUAAAAUUCAAGUCGAACUCGAUCGCCUACGACUCCGAAGCUUCCAAAAUCGUCUAUCUCUGGACGUAUGGUGAAUGCAGAUUGUAUUAUGCGCAUUUGUAGUUUUCUCAGGCAUAUACAUCUUUAACAAUCUUGCUGCUCGUUCUUCUUGCGACCGAUCAUACGCUUUGCCGCUAAGGAAGCUCAGUAAUUUCAAACUACGUCGUUUUAUUCUCAAACGAUUUAAAAAAUUAGUUUCCGACGUCUCGAUGGAAUUACGACCGUUAUUCUGACUAUAGGAUUCCUCUCCGAGCUUGUUAUUUGAUUUUCUUAUCAUAAAUUCUAAUUGUUUUCUAUGAUCGUGCUGCGCAUCCAACUUCCUGUGCCUACGUCCGUCGGUCGCAAUCGCGGCAUAAGCUUCCUUUUGCAAUAUCUCAAAACUUAUUUUUUCUGCAUUUCUGUUAUUAGAUUCCUCGGCUCUUCUCGCGACCAAUUCCAAUUCUUUCAAACGAUCUGCCUCCUUGACAUUCUUCGAUGAGUCCGGUGAUGUUAAUUCAAGUUUUGAGGCUUCGUCUACGUCGGACAGUUUUCUAUGAAGAUCUACAAUUUUACGACGAAACUCUUCGUCUUCUUGGCUCAACUUUGCAAAAAUACGAUCUCUCUCGAUUACAUCGGAACUCGAGCUGACGUUUUUCAACGUAGUCGAUUGCAACCUCUGUCACCACCAUCCAACUUGAUGUUUUCCACUUCCAGGGGAAUCCUCCUCUUCGAGUAAAGGCUCCAGUCUUCUUCUACUUAAGAAGCAACGUAGCGAGCCAAGGCUACCUCCGCCAAGUAAUUGAUCCAUGCUUAGUUCGGGCAAACCGCAAUCCUCGUUAUCCGAUUCUUGAUCGUGAUCUUCCUCCGUAGAUAAAUUCAGACCAUAAUUGUCUUCUCCGGAACCAGUCAAAUUGCCGGUCCCAUUUGGCGGCGGCUAGGGAAGUCAGGCACAGCUCGGGCUAAUGAUUCUUUGCAAACAGAGGGCAAGCGAGUCAUGCAAAGGCGUGCGAAGCUUACAGGCUAUAUUAGAUGCUUACAGGGAAGGUACGGGCUUUGACAAACAAUAGGUAUUGUAUUGUAAGAGCCAACAGACUAGGACCAUGUAGUCACGUAAUAGCAGGUAUGUUUCUUACGAUUGCAUCGGAGUAUUUAAAAGAAAAAGCAACGCAUGUCACUGAACAAAGUUUAGUUUCGGACUUUAGCAAAAAUAUUUUUUAUUUUUAGUUGAGACGUAGAUAAGAAAAAUGGAAAUUCUAUUAGUAGGUUUAACUUUGUGAUCAUAGAAGCGCGUUACGCCACUAUUCUUUAUGCAAAAAUAUUUUUGACCAAAGCGUAGCCGAUACCUUCCGCGGAAUACAAGUGUGUGUAUGUAUAUAGUAAGUACUAAUAUUAUUAUUAAUUAUUAUAAUCAAGUAUAUUACAGAGCGAGUGUGUGUGUGAAUGGGUGGCUCUAGAAAUGAUUACCGAAUGUGUCGUAAAACUCUCGUCGUCUGGACCUCCGGAGGUUGGAGUACCCCAAAUAUCAUCUCCCGAAGUUGCACCCGACGUAGUACCCUCCUCAUCGUUAGGAUCAAGAGAAAAUUCUGUCCUUUCUGGAGGAACAGGCGGUUGAAGAAGGUAAUCGCCAACCCCUUCGCUAAAUUGCUCCAAAAGAACCAUCUUGCUAACAACAUAAUUACUAGCUCUUGCGGUCCAAGCUCUCAGACCCGAAGGUGGUGAUUCUGUCUCACGAUUUUCAUCGUCUCCUUGCUCGUCCAGCUCAUCGUCUUGGUCCAAACUACUCAUCGUACCGAAUCUUCUCAACGUUCUACGUAGAAUCGAGAUUAUCGUAGAAGAUAAUAAAACGGAUUGAUAUAAACAGAAAUGUUUAUCGAAUGAUAGACUAAUAUCUACCUGUAAGGUGGUUCCCCGUCGCAGUCAAGAUCAUCUUCGCUUCCAUCUUCCGUAUUACCGUCGACAGAUGCAUAAUUUGGACUGUUACGUCCUGGACUAUCGUGUAGGCCAUUUCUUAAUCUAUGUCUCGCCGUAUAAAUAUCUGGCGUAGGUGGCAUGACAGAUAUUUUAGGAGGUAACGGAGAGAAAGGAUCUCUUGGAAGAGGCGGCGUGGGGCAGCCAGAUCUGAAAGAAGAAACGAAAGAAAAAGGAAGACAAAGAAAGGAAAAGAAGAAAAAAAGAAAAGGAAAUUUAAUUAAUUAAUAUUGGCACAUGCUAUAUCAUAUGAUAAUCUUAAAUAUGGUAAGUACUUCAUUUAAUACAUUGGAUUAUCGGUAAGGCAUAUAACCUAUGACAUCGCCUACAGAUGUUGAUAGAACUCGUAGAGUUUUCUUUCGAGGAUACGUAGCUCCCAUUUUUUCUUGCCGUAAUACUAUUGGAUUUGACUGUACUUAAACUGGCACUGGAGGCUGUGCUCUGUUGCUCUAUGUCCGAAUUCGCUGUUACGACUUCUUCUGCCGUCGUCGUCGUCGUUGCUGUCGUCGUCGUCGUAGCUUCCUGAAUGGAUCUUUCGUUCUUUUCUCCGGGUGCUCUUGCAGCUAACUCUUCCGCAGUCCAUUCCUCGAGGGAGCCUUCGUUAUCGGAAGGCGGUAUUUGGUGAGAAUUGCGCACCCAUUGGGCCAAAUGAUUGUCCUCUCGCGUAUUUUUCAGAAUAUCGGCAAGACUUUCACUCGAAUUACAUUCCUUUUUUUCCUCGUGCUUAUGCGAAUCCCGUAAUCCCAUCUAAUUUAAGAGGGAAUCGUAUAUUAAAGAGCAAAUAAAUCCGAUAUCUCGAAAUCCUUCACUUUUAUGCCAAUUCACCACCUUACCCGCGGACUUUCCAUCGAUUCUCUAACGUGAGCAAAGUUGGUGCUGGUAAUCGGACUCUCCUCGGGGCUGCCAACACUCGAUGUUCCACCAUAGCCUGUAUUUAGAUAAAUUCUAAAAUACAAGGGAUUAGUGUAAACAAUGUAACUUUGUGAUAUAAUCUACGAUCCGAGUGAUUCGGGCAACCACUUAGAAAAUAAAAGUAGGCGCUACUCACAUUUGUCGUUGAAGCAAGUUAUGCCAAACUGCUUUGAGCUCCGGGCUAGGAGCUCUCAAUACGAUGACUCGUCUUCGAGGACGACUAUGGGGACUACAACCUCCGCUGUUUGUCAUUUCUGCCUGACCGUUCUCAGUAUUACCAUUCGAAUUGAUUGCCACUUGUAAUCUGAAUUCUGUCGGCCUCUUUCUAAUGGUAAAACACGCUUCUGCAAUAUUGGCCAAUCGCAGAGGUUCCUCAGUAACGAAAAGAACGCGAUCCCUCGAAACGCGAGCAAAGACCAAUAAGUCGGUAAGAAGGAGCGCCCACGAUGGUUGCAAACGAGCCCGACCUUCGACCUUCGCUAGGGCCCCGCCGAAAAGCCUGUCAGAUAGAAUCAAUCUGUCAGAAAUUUAGUUCGUAAAUAAUCAUAAGUGACAAUCAACUGACCAUUGUCUUCCUGGCAUGGCUAAAGUAAACGGUUUGCAUUUUGCGAAAACCAAUCGCGACUCGACUUCCUGUAAACUAAGUAAAGGUCUUCCGGUGUCGCGCGGUGGUUCCAUUACGCCUGCAUUAGCCGUUGAUUCUCUGUAGCCUUGUGCUAAAUCUCGAGCUUGCUGACAGUUUCUUGGCGAUGCCAGACUCAGUAAUCUCGUCAUUUCUCUAAAACGCAACCACAAAUAAAAGUUAUUCAAAGAUUACUUGAAACUUAUUCAAACUUUGGAAUAAGCGCUACAAUACUGGCGCGAUGGAACUGGCGUAGAGACGAACCUAUAAUGCUCUAAAGGAAGCAAGAGGAUUCCCGUAAGGUCAGGCCGCCUUUUAUGAGGAACGGCAGGUUCACAGACUAACUUAGCAAAGGCCGUAUUCCGUCUGAGUGCAACGAGCAAAUAACAGGCCCAUUGCAGUCCACUGAGGUAUCGUCUGUAAGCGGCCGUGAUCUUGGGUACUCUGCAGAGAUAGCUAUCGGUACCGCCACCCUCGUCUCUAAUCUCCUCGGAUAUCUUAAGUAAUUCGUCUAGAUUUUGAAAGAGGACCAUGUAGUCCGCCGCGGAGAGAACGUCGCGCCUUUCGGCCAGCGGCGUCAUGAAUCUUGUGUGACCGCUCUUCAGAAUCCCCCGGUAUCUUGCCUCUCGUACCGAUAACUCUUCCUCCGGUGGUGCAUCCGGAGCAAGAUUCGGAAAAACCUGAUCACGUAGACGUGCAAGAUUUUCGUCCUGUCUUUUCGAACUACUACCAAUCGAGAGACCGCAUGCAUUAAUGUCCUUACCUAAGAAUAUUCUUAUUUUUCAAUAAACUGAUCAGCUACAAACAUUAUUGCUUAUCAACAUUAUAAUCUAUGAUCUUUAACGAAAUUGUAAAAAGGGUCGAUCUUUUAUAUAAUCGUAUCCAAAAUCUAACAAUGAAUCGAUCUAUAUAGUGCACAUAUAGUUAUAUAUACAUAUGCAUAUAUAUAUGUGUAUGUAUAUCGAUCGAAGCAAUCAUGCGAGUGUAAUAUUCUGUUACAUAACUCGUGACGAAAAAUUUUGCUACAAUAUUAUCUUUCGACCUGCAUGCAACAAGAGAAAGUAUCAUUUCGACCUAAUUUCAUACUAUGAUAAUCACAUUCUCUCUCUUUCUCUCUCUCUCUCUCUCUCUCUCUCUCUCUCUCUCUCUCUCUCUCUCUCUCUCUCUCUCUCUCUCUCUCUCUCUCUCUUCUCUCUCUCUCGCUCCCUCUGUAUCCAAAGAUGCAUACACACCUACAUGUACUCGUAGUUUAAUGUCAUGGCUAAAACACGGGGAAUGGAUGAGGAUGUGUUCAAAUAAAUGAAAAUAACAACGAGUAUAGUUUAAAACAAAACUUGUUGACAACAACAAAAAAAAAGAAAAGACAACCGAACAAAGUACAAACAAGAUAAUUAGAUCAUAAGUUAAGAACACGCUUACCACAAGAAACGCGCGAACGAUCGCUAUGAGAGGUAAGGAAGGAAAUGCACUAUACAAAAUAUGGACCGUGUAAAACAAAAAAAAGCGUUUAUCAGUCAACCAAAUGAAAAAAGAAAAAAAGAAAACAAAUACAAAACGUUCGCCGUUCUUUUCGCCUCGCGGUUCUGUAGAUCGAUUUUAACGAUAAGGCGAAUAAAAUGAUUGAUGCUCCGAUAAUGCUCGGACACGUUCGCUUUUAUCAAUGAAAAUCGAAACUUUUCAAUGUCAUCGAGCGGCAAGCGAUAUCGCGAUAACGAUAGGAACGAAAGAAUCAAGCGGUUUUAAAACAGCGGUAUUGUCAUCGAGCUCACACCAGAACGCCGAUACCGACCUCGGCGUUGAACGCGACGGCGUGCUGACUAGCGGGACCGACAGUUUGUUGAAGAGAGACAUUCAUCGAGUUGGGCCUCUGCUGUGACGAAUGAAUGCCUCCCUUACGAUAAACCUCAAGGAUGAGCUGAUUCGUUGCCGCCUGGAUCAAGCCCAAAAUCUCGUCCCUCGGUUUCGUUACAACGUUCGUUGUUUCGACGAAGACGACGUAAUCGCCUGGUUUCAGACCAGAUCUUUCCGCAGGACUUCCUGAAUCGACGCGCUCCACACGUGGCGGUCUGCCCCAGGAUAAAGAGAAACCCCAUGGCACCUGUACAAGGCGUUCUACCACCUCUCGCGGUAAAGCCUGGAUGUAGAGGUAAGCCGGUCAGAGGAUCGACUGGUUCCAACUCAAGAUGUUUUAAAUACGUCAAAUCAUCCCCACCGGAAUUGUUGUUAUCUGAUUCUCCAUCCUUGGAUAAAGGCGGCGAGACUCCACAUUCUUGUGGUACUCUUGCAUAAGGGGUACUUGUAUUUCGGCUGGAUCCAGAUUCGAGUGGGUGCCAUGUUGCUUCCUACGAUAUUCACGAGCGACGAUAUAUCAAUCGGUCAAUAAGUCAAACAACUGAGAAAUAUCAUAUGCUUUAUCGAUGUUUCUACAUAUAUACAUAUCAAUGCAGUUAUCAAAAAAAUUCAAAGAUCUUCAAAAGAACACCAAUAACGAUAAAAGCAAUGCAAUAAAUUGCAACAGCGAUCAUUGUUCGUUGAUGUGUAACAGUAAAAAAAAAAA